rnacentral:misc_RNA from 1 species
AAAGUCGUAACAAGGUUUCCGUAGGUGAACCUGCGGAAGGAUCAUUAACAACAUAUCCUAACUAAAAAACCCUGUGAACUUUCAAUGUCCCGAACCUUUGAUCCGAGGACUUCAGCAAUCUCUGGUAAAUCAUAGUGAACAGCUUUUGAUUCAGAGACCUCUGAAAUAACCUAGCGUGGUUGGGUGAGGUAAGGCAAGUGACCUGGUACCCUCAAGACCAGUGUUCAAUGAUCUGUCAGUGUUCAUUGACUGGAAUCAAACGUUCUGUCAGUGUGCGUUUGGUUUGCAAGGGUGGCGCAGUAAACGAUCGCUGGAGGCCGACACGGCCGGCGACCGGGUCAGUGAGCUCUGCUCCCGCUGUUACGUCAAACCCCAUGUUCCCCUCUAGUGAAAGCUAUUGGGUUAUAACUAAACGACUGUUAACAAUGGAUAUCUCGAUUCUC